rnacentral:lncRNA from 1 species
AAGUCUCCAACUAAUCUGACUGACUACUGAAUUAAACUUGAACAAACGUAAAAGGUCCUCAAAACAUGAGGAUUCACCACUGCUACUGCUCCUGAUGCGUUGAGAGGCCUAAGUGUGGUAGGGAACCUCAGCAUCCGAACCUAUAAUAUGAGACAUCAUAGCACAAGAGAUGAGUAUGUGGUUAGUACUUUGAAUGUACUGGAAUGCUAAAUAAGGUAGGCUGGUAAGCAUGGUUUCGUGUGUAGGAGUAAUAACUGACUAAAUGAAUAGCAUGAAAUAAUGAAUAAAAUGCAUGAAAUUUGUAAAGACCGAGAAUGCAUGACCAAGCAUAAAACAUAUUAUAUAUAAAGUCAAUAAACUAAAAUACUGAAAUCUGAUGAUUGAAUAAUUGAUAAUUGUAUGCUAUGGUUAAUACAUGCCUGAAUUGAAGUAUACUAAAUAAUAAACUAAGACAGUGGGAGCGAUCAUCUAACCGACAUGCCCCAAUGAGCAAAUUGGGGUCCAACCUGUGACCCCAGUUGGAAAGGUGUCAGUACUGUGCCACGGAUACUAACACUGGCUAUGUGGAUCCAUAAAAGUGUUAUCCCAAAGGAAUAAGGGUUACCCUCAACAGGCAGGUACCCGUAUGAGAUCAACCCUCAAUUGGCAUGUUAAUAUAUCAACCUACACUAACUACAUAGUUAUGGAAUAUGAGGACUUCUACUAAAGGUCACACCCUCAACAGGCAGGUGAACCCCCAUCCCUAGGUUCACUUGGUGCUAAAUCCUACUCCCAACCAAACUAACUUAAAAUACUGAACUGUUCUAAGUUUAACUGAUUGGGAUGACUGACUAAACUGAUAACGCUCAUAAUAUAUCUGGAAACUAUUCGGAAGAUACUGGGACUAAGUAAACAACUAUGUUUUCGGGUAUUCAUAAGCCUCAGGACUCGAUAGCAAUAAUAUCAAAAUAGUACUAAAACUUUGGAGACAUAACACGAAAGCAUUUAUUCAAAAUUCAUUCUUGUAAGCAUUUCAUCAAACACUUGAUAUUCAUAGUAUAAGCUGAGCAUGGGAAUAGUAUAAAACUUACAGUAAUAGCAUGAUUUCAGCAUAAACAACACCAAUUAGGAUUUAAAUCAGGAAAUAACAUUAUUCAAAUGUGUGGGGUUCUAUAACAACAACAACUUUGUAUAAACAUGGUAUAGAUCAAAUUUUAUGAGGAUACAUAGUUAAAAUCACAAUCAAAAUUACAAUAAAAUGGAAAGAUCAUAACUCUAAGUUUGAAGUUGGGUUCUUGAACUCCAUGGGUGAAAAGGGCCCGUAGAUGAACAUUUUAACAUACCUUGGAGCUUUAAUCUUGAAAUAGAAUUGACUUUUCUUGAGAGUUCUUGGAUUAGGAAUUAUAAUUUCUUGGUUUUCUUGAAAAAGGAAUGGUGAAACCUUGGAUUUCUUAGAGUUAAAAUUCAAGCUUAAGGGUUUCUUGGAGAGAAAUUUUUAUAAGGAAUGAGCGUAUUUUGCUUAUAAUAACAUCUAAUCCCUUAUUUUGACGACUUGGGGGCCAUAGAAAAAGACAAGAAUGCCCCUCAAACUUAAAAGUUUCAGUAAAAUCCCGAGUUUUAGGCUUAUCACUGAGUGAUAUUGGUGUCACUGCUAUAGCACCGCUGAUCGGGCUAAGAGUGGUAACCAACUAUUUUUGGACAACUCUGGUUUGGAGGUUUACCAUUGAGCGGUAUUGGCUCCAUCGCUAUUGCACCGUUGAGCGAUGUUAUCACGGCAGCUCCCUGCCUCACACGAAAAAUGCUAUAAUUUUUCACUCAGGAGUUGGAUUAAGGUAAAAUUUGUAUCAUUGGAAAGUUAAUCCAAUUAUGUAUCUUUUGGUGGAUCGUGAGCUAAAAAAUUCUUAGUAAUACGAAAGAUAUGCUCAUUUGAAGUUGAUUAUAGCAUCAUCCUUCCCAAGAACUUAUCGAUAAGAGAUAUUUUGAUUUGUCUAAUAACUAAGAGUUAUUUAAGGCUUUAAUAUACAUCAAACUCACUCAUAAAACUACCAAAACACUAUAAUUUAUUUCUUAUGAGCUUGAAGCAUGGUUCUAAUAUUGGUUUAGAUUUUUAGGGUAUUAUAAAGGUGCACUUCAUUCGGUUCCUAAGAGGAUUAUAUAUUAUGUUCAAGAUUGUAAUUUGGUUAAGAGGGGAUGUUUAUCUUAUUAUCCUCAUAUUCAUAAUACUAGUGUCGGUUUACCACUUGCCUUGGAUUCUAUCUGUGAGUUCAUAGAUGUGUUUCCUAUGAACUUACCUAUUAUGCCUUUGAAUCGAGGUAUUAAUUUUUCCAUUGAUGUUGAGUCGGGAACCAAGACAAUUUCUAUUCCUCCUUAUAGGAAAGCAUCAACAGAGUUGAAGGAACUAAAUGAUCAGUGGUAGGAGUUGUUAGAUAAGGGAUUUAUCUAACCUAGUAUUUUGCCUUAGGGUGCGCUUGUCUUAUUUAUGAAGAAAGGGGAUGGAUCUAUGAGGAUGUGUAUUGAUUAUCGAUAGUUUAAUAAGGUGAUGGUUAAGAAUAAAUAUCCUCUUCCUUGCAUCAAUGAUUUAUUUGAUCAACUUUAGGGUGUUGUAGUGUUUUCAAAGAUUUAUUUGAGGUUCGGUUAUCACCAGUUGAGGAAUAGAGCUUUGGGUAUUUCAAAGAUAGCUUUUUAGACUCAAUAUGGUCAUUAUAAUUUCUUGGUCAUGUCCUUUGAGUUGACCAAUACCCCUGCUGCAUUCAUAGAGUUGAUGAACCAGGUGUUUCAACCGUAUCUCGACUCCUUUGAUAUUAUAUUUAUAAAUGAUAUAUUGGUGUAUUCCAAGAGUGAGACUGAGCAUAAGGACCAUUUGCAUAUUGUGCUUUAGAGACUGAGGGAUGAGAAGUUGCUUGCGAAGUUCUCUAAGUGAGAGUUUUGGUUGGAGUUUCUUUCUUUCUUGGGUCAUGUGGUAAUUAAGAAAGGUAUUAUGGAUGAUCCAGCCAAGGUUCCAGCAGUUUGUUUUUGCGCUAGACUUACUUCGCCCACUGUGAUUCGAAAUUUUGUCGGCUUAGUAGGUUAUUAUCAGUAAUUUAUUGAGGAUUUCUCUUCUAUUGCAGCUUUAUUGACCAAGUUGAUAUAGAAUAAGAUUCCAUUUCAGUGGUUUGAUGCUUGUGAGGGGAGCUUCCAAAAGCCCAAGGAUUUAUUGAUUUCAGUUCCUAUAUUGGCUUUGCCUAAUGAGGGCAUGGGCUUUACUGUGUUUUAUGACACUUUGGGUGUUGGAUUGGGUGCUCUGUUGAUGCAGAAGGAUAAGGUAAUUGUGUAUGCUUCUGUUCAAUUAAUGCACUAUGAGAGAAAUUACUUUACCCAUGGUUUAAAGUUGUACAUGGUUGUGUUUUCUUUGAAUUUGUGGAGGCACUACUUGCUUGGAGUCUGUUGUAAGAUCUUCUUAUAUCAUCGUAGCCUUCAAUACUUCUUCACAUAGUAAGAUCUUAAUAUGAGGCAGCGAUGUUAUCUUGAUUUACUUUAGGAUUAUGACUUGACCAUUCUCUAUCAUCUGGGCAAAGCUAAUGUGGUUGCAAAUGCCUUAAGCUAGAAGUCGACUAGCAUAGGUAGCUUAGUGCAUCUUUUGAACCAAGAAAGGCCUUUGACCUUAGAGGUUCAGUCUUUAGCUAACCAGAUAGUUAUGCUUUUAUUUUGAUACCUGGGUGUGUUUUGGCAUUUGUGGAGGCAAGAUCUUCUCUGAUGGAGAAGAUUUGAGCUCAUCAGUUUGAUAAUAUUGGAUUGAGGUUGAUUCAAUACAAGGUAUUAGUGGGGAGGCUAAGGAAACCUCACUUAAUUCAAAUAGAGUUUUAUGGAUGGGAGGUCGAGUUUUUGUUCCGAGAGUUGGUGACUGGAUUAGGUUAACCAUAAAGGAGGCCCAUUGUUCCAAAUAUUUCAUUCAUCUAGGUGUGAUUAAGAUGUAUCAUGAAUUGAGAUAGCACUACUGGUGGAUUGGUCUGAUGUGAGAUAUAGCAAAUUUUAUGGCUCAUUACUUAUGUUGUCAGCAGGUGAAGGCCAAGUAUUUGAGACCUGGUAGAUUGCUUCAGAGGUUGCCCAUUCCCCAAUGGAAGUGGGAACGGAUCACCAUGGACUUUGUGACUUCUUUACCUCAUAUAUCUCAUGGUUCUGAUAAUUUUUAGGUCAUCGUGGAUCGAUUGACCAAGUCAGCUUAUUUUACUCUAGUUCAGGUCUCAUUCAGUACUGAGAGGCUGGCCCAUAUCUACAUUCAUGAAAUUGUCCGUCUUCAUGGUGUACCGGUGUCCAUUAUUUCAGAUCUAGGUCAUGUUUUCACAUAUCAAUUUCGGAAGACAUUUUAGGAUGAGUUGGGUACUCGAGUGAAUCUCAAUAUAGUGUUUCACCCCCAGAUAAAUGGUGAGUCAGAGCAAACUAUCCAAGUUUUGGAGGAUAUGCUUCGCACAUGCGUGUUAGAUUUUGGUGGCUAAUGGGAGCAGUAUAUGGCUUUAGCAGAGUUUGCAUAUAAUAAUAGCUACCAUUUUUGUAUUGAUAUGGCUCCUUUCGAGGCGUUGUAUGGUUGGCAUUGUCAUUCCCUAGUGAGUUGGUUUUAUGUUUUGGAAGUGAGACCUCGAGGUAUGUACUUACUUCGUGAGUCUUUGGAUAAAGUCUGGGUCAUUUAAAAUAGACUUAGAGUGGCUCAGAGUAGACAGAAGUACUAUGUUGAUCGUAGACUUCAUGCCUUGAUAUUUGAUAUUAGUGAUCGAGUUUUUAUUCGAGUUUCACCCAUGAAGGGUGUGAUGAGGUUUGGGAAGAGGGGCAAGUUUAGCCCUAGGGAUAUUGGUCCAUUUGAGUUCUUUGGACUGUUAGUGAUGUAGCUUAUGAAUUGUAUUUGCCCCCUGAUAUAUCAGUUGUUCAUCCAGUUUUUCAUAUUUUUAUGCUUCGCUAUUAUAUUUCAGAUGAGUCUCAUACUACUUGUUGGGAAUCAGUUCAAUUAGAUGAGCAAUUAUCUUUUGUUGAAGAGCCAUUCUUCACUUUGGAUAAAGAUGUUAGGCGGUUGCACACUAGAGUGAUCCCUGUGGUUAAGUUCCAGUAGAGACAUCGACCCAUAGAUGAGGCAACUUGGGAGGUUUAGUCUAAUAUGCAUAGUUUUUAUCCCUAUCUCUUCGUUGAUUUGCCUUAGUUCGAGAACGAAUUGCAGCUUUAGUGGUGGAUGAUGUAACGAUCAGUUUUUUGAUGAAAUAUGUGAAAUAUGCAUUUUUGUGUGAUUUUUCUAUUUUACCCCACCCCGUAGUUGUAUUAUGCUAUUUAUGAAGUGUGGGGGUGAUUGGCAUGGUCCCCAAUAUAUUUUGUUACCAUUUAUGUGAUAUUGUGAUUUUUUGUGGCUUCGAGAACCUUAUUUCAGACUUAUGUAGAUAUCUUUUGAUCUGUGUGAGGAUGGCUGAACAAACUGUUCCAGCAGCUCCAGAAUAACAAUUUUAGUCUAUUUGACCUUUGGUUCGGGUCCUAGUGCACACGAGCUUAUUUUGACCUAUUGGUCGGACAGUUGAAAGAAAUAUGGGUGUGGGAUCCACAUUUAGUCGAAAGGACCUUGGAUGGAAAAUCCGACUUCUUCCGUAUAUUCAGAACAUCGAUUUUAGGGUGGUAACAUGUUUGGUGUAAUUUUACAGCAUUUAAAUUUCAUUUCGACCCUCGGUUUGAAAAAUUGUGAUUUCGAAUUUCGGGGAUCAACUUUGUUAAACGAUGUUUUAUAAAAAAUCUAGCAUCGUCAUUGGUCUAGAACAUCGAAUUUAGUACGGUUGAAUGGUUCAUUUACAUGUAUCAAACUCCAAGUGAAUCCUGGGUAUCCCAUCGAAGUUCGGGGUGGACUUGAAGAAAAAAUCUGGUGCAAAAUAGAAAAAAUCUGCAAUGUAAAUAGACCAUUUUUGGACAUUUUUGCUCAUUUUUCAUCUUGUCUCUUGAAAGUUAAACCCAAAAAUAAUGUGGGAGCUUAAAAGUGAAACUUGUGAGAGCUUGGGAAACUAGAUUAACAUCUAUUUCUUGGUUCUAUUACAAAUUUAAGGUAAGAAUUCACCCUUUUCUUAAUUAUUUCUUGAUUAAUUUUUCAAAAUCCAAAAAAUCUUGGGGCUUGAUUUUAAAUCUCAAUUUUACUUCUUUUCACUUGAAUAAUGUCUUUAUCUUAUAAUUACUAGUUUUUCAUCAAUUUAGUCUUCAACAGAACUCUGAUUCUUGAUUUUAACCCAGAUUUUAAAGAUUUUACUCGGUAAAGCUUAAAAAUGAUUUUUCUUCGAUUUGAACCUCGUUUUUUUACUUGAUUUGACUUGUAUUUUCAGUUUUAGGUUCCUAAAAUAUGACAAAUACAUUUUUAAAGUAUAGUUACAAUUUUGCCCUUCUUUUUUGAAAACUCAUUUCGGGGAUCCAUUUUGAUCCCAAAUCAAAAGUAGCCAAUAUGAAUAUCGUUGGUUUUUUUUUUAUGCAUAGAUUCCAUAUUUGAUAUUUUUAGUGGAUUUCAAAACCGUUCAUGAGGAUUAAGACUUUGGGAGCAAAGUCUUGGUAGCGGUAUUUCGACUUUUGAGGUAGAUUAUGGCUUAACUCUUUCAGACUGGGCUUGGUAGUAAAUGAUGGUACAAAAUGCAUGUUUAGAGUGGGAAAUAAUCUUGAAAAAUGGAUAGUUAUGUGUUUUUCCUGUGCGGGGGCCUAUUUAUGAUGUAAUUGUUGAAAUUGAGAUAUGAUGUGAUAUGUGUGACCAUGUGGGGUCCUAUGUGGUGUUGAUAGUCUUGAAUAUAUGUGAAUAAUUAUAUUGUGUUGUUGAAAUUCCGAAUGUGGUUUCAUUGGUAUAUUAUGAUAUGUCCAUACUUAUUGGUAUAUGAGACAUGUGGAAAUUCAUAGAUGAAAUAGAAGUAAUGAGUGGAAAUUGACUCUUGUUGUUGUGAAAUUAUCACAUUGUGGUUGGUUGCGGAAAUAUCAUGUGGAUUGGUUUACAUCAUAUGGAUUGAUUAUGGAAAUACUCAUUCUGAAUUAUUGUGAACAUUGCAUCGUCAUUCUCAUGUCAUUAUGUGCAUCAUUUAAUUUAUUUAUUUUAUUGUUUUAUAUUUACUUAUUGUCAUGUGUGUGUACUUGAUUUGUGUCUUAUGUUAUGUACGUGCUUUGGAAAUACUGGAAAACUAGAAUACUGGAUAUUGGUAUCGAAUAUUGGAUUUUAUAGACCAUCUCCAAAGAAUUAUGUCGGAGAAGAGUUUGGAUAUUGGUGAUCUUGGGGUUGUGUGUCAAACUUGAGCCUGUGUGCCAAACUUGAAGUUGUGUGCCAAACUCAAGGUUUUGUGUCGGUCCCAUUCAUCAUCAUCAUAUAUUGCACCCGAUUUAUUGUGUUUAUGUUAUGUUUGAAUUUCCAUAUUGACUUGUCAUCUACCUACUUGUUCUAUAUCUUGACUUAUUAACGUCUAAUUGUUCUAUCUUCCUUUAAUUGUACUUGAUGAUCUUGAUUAUAAAUGUCCCUCUUCUUUUCUACUUGUAUGUGAUAUUGUUUAUAUUUGUAUUCUUAUCUUGUGUGUUGUUGUAGUAUAUAUAUGGAUAUUAUAGAACUGUUAGUGCAAGCUGUGUGGUCUACUGUUGUGGGACAUUUUUUGAUUGCAGGUGACGUCCCCUUAGUAUGUAUUUUGUAUGUUUUAUUUUCUACUUUGCUCGGUCGGCCUAUGAUACCUACUGAGUACAAAUGAACCGUACUUACUCCUACUUCACCCUUUCGGUGCAACUUUAGGUUUGGGUGCGCCUCAACUAGUUGAUUUCGGGUGCCUUCAGGUUUCUCAAGGAAGUGGUUGGACAUUCAUACGUCCGGAGUUCACCCUCUAUCUUUCUACACUAGUUAUGUCUUUAUUAGUGUUCAGAAACAAAUAUUUUUCUUUGUGGUUAUUUUUCGAUGUAAUUAACUUCGAGAUUGUAUCAGUAGUUCUUAUACUAUUGACACCAGGUUUUGAGAGUUAUGGCUGCAUGUGUUGAUUUUAUUCUUUUCACUUUUCUUAUAUCUAUUUGGUUCAACUUUGUUCUAGAAGCCUUACCUUGAGGGCAUUUUUGUCUCUUCCUCGUGUAAAUCAAUUUGGGUGAGAGACUUAGUUGUCAAGUUUUGUCGUGACAAGUGCCAUAAUGACCUAUCAAUUUUUGGAUCGUGACAAUCCCACUAUAGUUGGGGUGAAGGACCAGUUCUAAUAAAUUUCGAGAUGAAAAAAUGAUUUUAUUAAAUAUUUUCAUACUUUAAUUAAGAAAUAAAUGAAAAUGGUAAAAAUUAAGGAGAAAAAUUAUUUCUAAAAAAAUAAAAAAAAUAAUAGUUGAAGUAUUAUCAAUAAAUUAAAAUGAAUAUUAAUUGAAGCUCUAAUAUAACUUUUAACUUCAAAAAAAUAUUUUUUUUCAAAAUUCUUUACCCAAAACUUGUUUACAAAUAAUAAAAAUACAUAUUAUAUUUUGUAAAAAUAUCUAUUAAACAUCCCAAAAAAUCCCAUCUGAAAUGUCUAUUAAGUACUGUUUUGAUUAAUUUGUGAAUUUUCUUUUGAAAUAAUAAUUUUUUAUAUUAUUUUCUUUAAAUAUAAUUAUAUUAAGUGAUAUCAUCUCAAUUAAUAGCACGUGAUUACAUUAAACAAAAAAUCAUAUCACUUUAACACAUAUUUCUUCACUUGUUUUAAUCAAGAUUCGUGAAUAGCAACAAACAUAAAACAAAAGAUUACCUCAAUCCUUGUCCCAUUAUGAGGAGGAAAACGUAAAUAAAGUAUUUUGCAAAUAUUCAACGGUUUCUAAUAACUUAUGUUCUUUCUUCUUCUGCUUCAUCUCCCCCUCCCCCCCUACGAUCUCUUGCGGGAAUCUCUCAUCUCCCUUCUUUCUCAUUUCUUUCCAUUUUGUUCUUCUAUCCUUUGUCUUGUCCUUUCUUUUGUCUCUGCUUCUCCUUUAUCUCGCUUUGUGGCACCACCUUCCUAUGUUGUUCUGUCACUUUUUUUCACUCAUUUUUCAUAUCUUUCUUGUAUCCUUCGUCUAUCCUCCCCUUCUCGAAUGAUCUGUUAUAUUAUUGGAUGAAUGAAUGGUCCAGAUUUUUC